CGGAGUUGAGCAUUGAGAACCCUCAGACUGAUCACUGAACCAUAUUGUAAUAAAAGCAUGAAGCUGGUUCUGAUCGUUCUGAUCUUACAGUGAAGUGUAGGGACGGGGAGUGAGCUUUCUUUCCAAGUCCGGCUACAUAUUACAUACAUACAUAUCAAAUAUAUUCACCUACGUUCCAACACACUAAAUUCUUAUUGAAAUUCUAAUCUAACAACCUUGCAGGUCGCGCCACUUGAGGUAAACCAGUCCUGCACGAUAAUGAGUAUAUGCCCCAGCAACUACUAAAACGUGGAAUAGUUGGUGGCUGUGGCCAGCAAUGUCGAAUUUUCCAGGCAUCCAUCGCUCAGGAAUUCUUGCUGCAUAAACCAGGGCUCCAACCCCAUAAAAUAGCCCCAUCAGUAUCUCAUACCCUGUUGUGAGGAGUGCUUCGGGUGAGCCCCAGAACAGGAUAAGCUUGUGUAGGAUAGGGGCAACCCCGCACAAGCCCAUCCCGAGGAAGAGGGAUGCCCGAAAAGUGCGAUAUUCAGGGCUUUGAAACAUUGGCAGCAGAGAAACCAAGAUAGUUGCAAUUCCCAGGAGAGUAAUGAACCCCAUAUAGAGACUGCAAAAGAAGGGAUAGCACAUGAAGGAGUAGUAAACUGGGGGAUAGAAGGAGGUAGAUAUAAGGGCUGCAAUUCCGGCAUAGUCCAGUCUGAGCAUUAUGUAUGAGACACGUUCAGAGUGGCAGGAAAGAAGGUGGCAAGUGCUGCUAGCAAGCAGGCAAAACAUAGCCCCGCCCAAGAAUGCAAAGAAAGGCCACCGAGUGAUUGGUCUCAUAGCCAAGGGUGCAAUCAUGUUGGCAACGUCCUCCUUCAUACUUCUCAGAACACAGUCAUCCGUUUGAUUUCCAUGGGAGAAUCGCUCAGGUAAACAAUUGUAUAGAAGUUCCACAACAUGCCAACGAGAUAGUGAGGAAAACAUAUCCAUUGAAGGCAAUGCAGUCUUCAACUCCUCCCUGAGUUUCUGCAGAUCAGGGAAGUGAGGCAAGGAAGGAAGGCACGUCAAGAGUUCUUCUUGCAAUUUGUGCAUAUCAGCUUUUCUCAACACGUCAGGCAAAUGAUGAAGAGGAUGAAUGUCAACAACAUCAGGAAUCUUUGUUGCAGUGUAUAUGGUCAAGGAGAGAAAGAGGAAAAAUCCAAUUAAAUGCGUCCAAACAUUAAGAGUCUCAUUGUGAAUGGAAAAGAUGCUGAGCAAUGUCUGCUUCAUAGGCCAGUCAGCGCGGUAAUGACCAAGAAUGAAUUCGUUAUCCCUCAAGUAGGCUGGUAAAGCGUGGUAUUCAACCAGUUGAUACUUGACCUUCUUCCAAAGUCUUUUCCCCUUUCCCUCCUUCGAAGAAUACUUAUGAUGGCCCUCCAUUGUUUCAGCAGUAAUUUUGAAUUUCUCAGUCAUUUCCUCGUAUGUAUCCAUUCCCUAAAAUUGGAAGAAGGCCAGAAGAAUAGAGAGGGUUAGAAGCAAGCCCUCGUCCCCUCCAGCAGCAGAAAGGGAACAAAAAAGAGAAAGUUAGCGGACAGAAUCGAAGGGGGCAGAGUCCGGUGGAUGAAUUGGCAAUGUUGGAG
rnacentral:misc_RNA from 1 species